AUUGAACGCUGGCGGCAUGCCUUACACAUGCAAGUCGAACGGCAGCACGGGAGCUUGCUCCUGGUGGCGAGUGGCGAACGGGUGAGUAAUGCAUCGGAACGUACCCAGUAGUGGGGGAUAGCCCGGCGAAAGCCGGAUUAAUACCGCAUAUUUCCUGAGGGAGAAAGCGGGGGACCUUCGGGCCUCGCGCUACUGGAGCGGCUGAUGUCGGAUUAGCUAGUUGGUGAGGUAAAGGCUCACCAAGGCGACGAUCCGUAGCUGGUCUGAGAGGAUGAUCAGCCACACUGGGACUGAGACACGGCCCAGACUCCUACGGGAGGCAGCAGUGGGGAAUUUUGGACAAUGGGGGCGAACCCUGAUCCAGCCAUGCCGCGUGAGUGAAGAAGGCC
rnacentral:rRNA from 1 species